GUACACUCCUACGGGAGGCAGCAGUGGGGAAUCUUGCGCAAUGGGCGAAAGCCUGACGCAGCCAUGCCGCGUGAAUGAUGAAGGUCUUAGGAUUGUAAAAUUCUUUCACCGGGGACGAUAAUGACGGUACCCGGAGAAGAAGCCCCGGCUAACUUCGUGCCAGCAGCCGCGGUAAUACGAAGGGGGCUAGCGUUGCUCGGAAUUACUGGGCGUAAAGGGAGCGUAGGCGGACAUUUAAGUCAGGGGUGAAAUCCCGGGGCUCAACCUCGGAAUUGCCUUUGAUACUGGGUGUCUUGAGUAUGAGAGAGGUGUGUGGAACUCCGAGUGUAGAGGUGAAAUUCGUAGAUAUUCGGAAGAACACCAGUGGCGAAGGCGACACACUGGCUCAUUACUGACGCUGAGGCUCGAAAGCGUGGGGAGCAAACAGGAUUAGAUACCCGAGUAGUCCCA
rnacentral:rRNA from 1 species